CGCACGGAGGCCUCUGCCUUACAAGGCCGGCUCCGCGCAGGCCCAGCCGGUCACCCGGCGCCUGCUCGGCGCAGGGCGCGGCCGACUCGCCGGGCCGUGGGAACCGCUGGGCAAGGGACUGCGGCGCCCCUCACCUGGCUCUUGCCCCCGACCCCGGGGACGACCGGACCCGGAUCUCUGCGCCCCGCAGGACGCGCGUGGACGAUCGCCAGGAAAGGGCACUGGAUCUUGCUCAGCCGGGACAGGUGGAUCCUGAUUCAGCAUGCGGGCCCUUCAUCUGGCUGUGGCUGCCUGUCCAGUGGCCCUUCCAGGGGUGACCCUGCCCCCAGCUCUUGCUCCACCCCAGACCUGGACAGCCUCCUUUUACCCUGCAGUUGCUGAAAACCCAAUGACGUCGUCCACGCAGUGUCUUGUUGACAACUGUCACUGGAUUUAAGGGCCACCAGGAUAAUCCAGGAUGAUCUCAAAAUCUUUAAUCGAAUUACAUCU